UUGGAGGGCAAGUCUGGUGCCAGCAGCCGCGGUAAUACCAGCUCCAAUAGCGUAUAUUAAAGUUGUUGCAGUUAAAAAGCUCGUAGUUGAAUUUCGGGAUUAGUACGUCGGUCGUGCCUUAGGUACGUACUGGUGUUACUGGUUCCUACCUUCUGACGAACCAUCAUGUCAUUAAUUUGGUGUGGUGGGGAAUCAGGACUGUUACUUUGAAAAAAUUAGAGUGUUUAAAGCAGGCUCGCGCUUGAAUACAUUAGCAUGGAAUAAUGAAAUAGGACGUUGAUCCUAUUUUGUUGGUUUCUAGGAUUGACGUAAUGAUUAAUAGGGAUAGUUGGGGGCAUUAGUACUCAAUUGUCAGAGGUGAAAUUCUUGGAUUUAUUGAAGACUAACUACUGCGAAAGCAUUUGCCAAGGAUGUUUUCAUUAAUCAAGAACGAAAGUUAGGGGAUCGAAGACGAUCAGAUACCGUCGUAGUCUUAACCAUAAACUAUGCCGACUAGGGAUCGGAUGAUGUUAAUUUUUUAAUGACUCAUUCGGCGCCUUACGGGAAAC
rnacentral:rRNA from 1 species